rnacentral:tRNA from 1 species
GGUGCCAUAGCUCAGUGGCAGAGCGGGGGACUCAUAAGCCCUAGGUCGGUGGUUCGACCCCACCUGGCACCA